rnacentral:lncRNA from 1 species
UCGAUCUGGCCGUCCAAGUGUCCCAGCCUGGCUACCCUUCCAUCAUUGUCAGAUCGUUGGAUUGGGAACGGACGGUAUGGAUUUGCCAAAAACCCUAGGCACCUUAACCUCGCACCACUGAACGCACAGCUCGGCCACCCGAUGCUCUUCUCAUCCACGCCGCCUCGCCCUCCUCUCCUCGCGCGCGUCGCCGCCUUGCCCUCCUCCCGCUGCCAGCAGCCCGCCCUCACCUCUCUUCCUGUGGAUCCGGCUGCUCGGGACCUUGGAAGCGAGGGAGCAAGCCGUCGCUGCCACCCUCUACUACUCUCCUUCUCUGCACCUCCACCACCCCUCUCCUCUCAGCUCCACCCGAGGUCGCCGGAUUUGGUAGGAGGAGAAGGUAGGAACGGUGCAGCUGUUGGGGAGAAGGAAGGAGGAGGGUCGCAGCUUGGCCAUUACUGUGAUGACGACGACUGUUGCUCGGUCAAGUCGAUGGCUAGGGAUGGCGGCGGCUAG